UACGGAGGGUGCUAGCGUUGUUCGGAAUCACUGGGCGUAAAGGGCGUGUAGGCGGUCUGUUAAGUCUGAUGUGAAAUCCCCUCGCUUAACGAGGGAACUGCGUCGGAUACUGGCAGACUUGAGUACCGGAGAGGAAGGUGGAAUUCCCGGUGUAGCGGUGAAAUGCGUUGAUAUCAGGAGGAACACCGGCGGCGAAGGCGAGGCUCUGGCUGAUUUCUGACGCUGAGACGCGAAAGCUAGGGGAGCAAACGGGAUUAGAAACCCGUGUAGU
rnacentral:rRNA from 1 species